rnacentral:rRNA from 1 species
UGCCGAAUCAACUAGCCCUGAAAAUGGAUGGCGCUUGAGCGAGGGACCUAUACCCAGCCGUUGCUGGCUUGUGCGUUGUCUAUCGCCUGGCCGCAACGAGUAGGAGGGUCGUGGCGGUUGCGUCGAAGGCUUUGGGCGUAGGCCCAGCUGGAGCUUCCGUCAGUGCAGAUCUCGGUGGUAGUAGCAAAUAUUUAAGUUCGAUCCUUGAAGACUGAAGUGGAGAAGGGUUCCACGUGAACAGUAGUUGAAUGUGGGUCAGUCGAUCCUAAGAUACUGGCUUAUGCCUUGUAUCAUUGAGAGGGAAAAGUUUCUUUUCUCUCGGAUAUCAAAAGGGAAUAGGGUUAAUAUUCCCUAACGCAGACACAGAGAUUGCGGCUCUUUGAGUCGCUUGCGCGGUAACGCAUUCGAACUUGGUUACGUCGCUCAGAGACCGAGCUAGAGUUCUCUUCUCUAGUUAAGGAACGGACUCCCUGGAAUCGGUUCAGCCGUAGAUAGGGACGUUGUUUCCGUAAAGCAUCGCGGUUUCUGUGAUGUCUCGUGUUCUCUGGACGGCCCUUGAAAAACCAAGGAAGGCUAUCAAUCUGUGCUGCAUCGUACCGAUAUCC